GGGCCCGUGGUAUAGUGGUUUAGUACGCCUCCCUGUCACGGAGGAGAUCGCCGGUUCGAACCCGGUCGGGCCCGCCA
rnacentral:tRNA from 1 species